AGUUUGAUCAUGGCUCAGAGCGAACGCUGGCGGCAGGCCUAAUACAUGCAAGUCGAGCGGGUCCUUCGGGAUUAGCGGCGGACGGGUGAGUAACGCGUGGGAACGUGCCCUUUGGUACGGAACAACUGAGGGAAACUUCAGCUAAUACCGUAUGUGCCCUUCGGGGGAAAGAUUUAUCGCCAUUGGAGCGGCCCGCGUUGGAUUAGGUAGUUGGUGAGGUAAAGGCUCACCAAGCCUACGAUCCAUAGCUGGUCUGAGAGGAUGACCAGCCACACUGGGACUGAGACACGGCCCAGACUCCUACGGGAGGCAGCAGUAGGGAAUCUUGCGCAAUGGGCGAAAGCCUGACGCAGCCAUGCCGCGUGAAUGAUGAAGGUCUUAGGAUUGUAAAAUUCUUUCACCGGGGACGAUAAUGACGGUACCCGGAGAAGAAGCCCCGGCUAACUUCGUG
rnacentral:rRNA from 1 species